UACGGAGGAUCCAAGCGUUAUCCGGAUUUAUUGGGUUUAAAGGGUGCGUAGGUGGGCAGGUAAGUCAGUGGUGAAAUCUCUGGGCUUAACCCGGAACUGCCGUUGAUACUAUCUGUCUUGAAUAUAGUGGAGGUGAGCGGAAUAUGUCAUGUAGCGGUGAAAUGCUUAGAUAUGACAUAGAACAUCGAUUGCGAAGGCAGCUCGCUACACUAUGAUUGACACUGAGGCACGAAAGCGUGGGGAUCAAACAGG
rnacentral:rRNA from 1 species